GAUGAACGCUAGCUACAGGCUUAACACAUGCAAGUCGAGGGGAAACGAUGAGAGAGCUUGCUCUCUUAGUCGUCGACCGGCGCACGGGUGAGUAACGCGUAUCCAACCUGCCUCUGACCAAGGGAUAACCCGUCGAAAGUCGGACUAAUACCUUAUGCAGUCUUCGGAAGUCAUCUGAUGACGACGAAAGAUUUCAUCGGUGAGAGAUGGGGAUGCGUCUGAUUAGCUUGUUGGCGGGGUAACGGCCCACCAAGGCGACGAUCAGUAGGGGUUCUGAGAGGAAGGUCCCCCACAUGGGAACUGAGACACGGUCCAAACUCCUACGGGAGGCAGCAGUGAGGAAUAUUGGUCAAUGGGCGUAAGCCUGAACCAGCCAAGUAGCGUGCAGGAGGACGGCCCUAUGGGUUGUAAACUGCUUUUAGGCGGGGAUAAAGCGAGGGACGUGUCCUUCAUUGCAGGUACCGCAUGAAUAAGGACCGGCUAAUUCCGUG
rnacentral:rRNA from 1 species